AGAGCAUUCCCACAAGGUUGCAAUUACCUUGAUGAGGUCACUAUGGCCCAAGGACUGGUCUCAGGCUAGCAGGUUAGGAAACCUGAUUUCCCUGAGCCCUUUCAAAGUAGCUCUGCCACCCCUCAGAGAAGUGCUACUCAAAACUCACAGUGCUUAGAAUGAAAUUUCCAGACAAAUUACAGGCUUGUGUGAAGAACACAGUAUGUGCUGAAAAAGAAAACUGACAAGAUGCUCACCUCGUGGAGAAAAUUGACAGGAAGAAGUAAGGAAAGAAGGAAGACUCCACAGCAAAACUGUGAUGAGGAGCAGGAGACACCGAUUCAAUCCCUGGUCCAGGAGGAUCCAACAUGCCAUGGAGCAACUAAGCCCAUGCAGCACAACUACUGAACCUGGGCUCUAAAGCCUGUGCUCUGCAACAACAAAAUUCACCGCAGCUAGAGAGUAGACCCCGCUCUGUGCAACCAGAGAAAAGCCCACACAGCAACAAAGAUCCAGCACAGCCAAUAAA
ensembl:lncRNA